AGUGCACUGGUCAACCUGACCUCCGAAACCCCAUUGCCAGGGAAGUGGCUGCAAUGUCUGCACAAUGCACAGACCGUCACAGUUUUUAAGGACUGAAAAGCAACACGAGUUCCUAAUGGCCAACCCAAACCUCCCCUGGCGCAACACCUCCUCACGUGCUAUCCCUUCUCACCUGAGAGCACAGGCCGGCACCCACUUCCACGCGAAGACCCGGGCUGCCCUGCGCUCACCCUGUGCCUGACGCCCGCGAGGCCACCCUGCAGUGGAGGCACUGGGCAGGCACCCCCCGCCCCUGCAGGGCGGUGCCCCCCAGGCUGGACGCCCCUUGUGAUGCCCUUUGUGACACCCUUUGUGACACCCUGCCCGUGGCCUGGCAGCAAAGCCUUGUGCUGCCUGCAGCCGGCGGCGCUCAGUGCUGUCGCCGCCACUGGGGAAGCGACAGCGCGUGCGUGGCCGGGAGCGUGGCUGCGGCCCUGCCCUCGCGUGGUGCCUCUGCCUCGCCGCGGGGCUCCCAGCCGUCUCAGCUCCCGUCUCCCUGCCCGGAGCCCGGCAGAGCCCGCCGGGCGCCUCUGGUGCCGUUGCCCUGAGGCGGGCCAUGGCCUCAUUCCCGCCGCAGCAUGCAGAGGGUCUUGGGGCUCCUCAGGGGCCGUCGGGAGGCACCGUCGGUGCCUGUCGGCUCCAGGAGAGGCAGCCUGGUGGGCUGCACGGCGCGGCCGCCCGUGGCGACCUGGCCCUGCUGCAGCGGCGCCGGUGGCUGAGGAAGCUGUGCAUCAACUGGCGGGAUGCGGAGGGGCGGACACCUCUGCAUCUUGCGUGCGCCAACGGCCACGUGGAUGUCGUUCAGUUUCUGGUUAGGAAGAAGUGCAAGCUGAACCCACGUGACAAUUUGAAGAACACGCCCCUGAUGAAGGCGGUAGCAUGCAAGCAAGAAGGCUGCGUGGCUGUUCUGCUAGAGCACGGCGCUGACCCAAACGUCACAGAUCGUGGCGGCAACACUGCCCUUCACCUCGCUGUCCACACUGAUAACGUGUUUGUAGCGGGGGUCUUACUGCAGCACAAUGCCCAGAUUGAUGCUCCGAAUCAGCUGGGAUACACGCCGCUCGCUCUCGCAGUCUCCCAACGUUGCAAAGGGAUGGCAGAGUUCCUUCUGGAAAAAGGAGCCGACGUGAAUGCGCGAGAUUGCUCUGAAAGGACCGUUCUUAUAAUUGCUGCUGUUGUGGGGGAUACGGACAUCAUGCGACUUCUUCUUCAGCGUGGUGCUGACCCUUCUCUGACGGACAUCACCGGCAUGACAGCCAGGGGUUACUUAGCAACUCUCCAUAGCCAAGAUCUUACUGAGGAACGGGAGGAACCCGUGAGCUCUCAAACCACGGGAGAGUCUUCUGCACAUGCUGCAAAAGGCACAACAGUACCCGACAGCUCCUGCCCGGUGACAACUGGUGGUGUCCUAGCAGCAGCAGAAGCGGAGCAAGAGGAAGAUGAUGACUCUUGUGAAUCCUUUUCAGCAAGUGGAAUAGCGGAAGGUGGAGAGAUGCAGAUCCUGAAAUCUGCCGAGAAGCCUGGAAAGAUGCAGAUGGACGCUCAGUUGGCUGAGAAGCUAUCUGAAGGUUAAACCCCUCAGAGGGAAACGGUUGUCAUGGGGUCAGAGCUGUGAGCUCCUAGCCCAUUUUUAAGUGGCAACACCUAGGUGUCUGGCUUCUGGGAAGGUUUCGGGCAGCGCAUCUCAGAGAAGGGCGAUCUCUUCUGGCAGUGCUACGGAAAGAGCAUUCUUUCUUGUCGAUUUCCCGUCAGCACGAGGAUGCUUUGCAGUGUUUCUACAGUGCCUCCUGGCCAGUGCAAAGUGACCCUAAACACCAGAGUCUGGAGAUGGUGUCUAUAGAGACCAGACGGCCCAAACUGUCCGCACGCCGCGACUCCUGCAUGCCAGAGUCUCUUCCUGGAUGCUACCCAGCCACCUUUGGGCACUGCUUAGAGCCACGUGCGCUGUCAUGCUUAGGCACCUCCUGCUGGAAAGGAGGCAGCAAGAGGUGGUGAUGCCAAGAGAAUACCGUGCUGCGGCUGGGUGCGAAGGCACCCUGGGAAAACACUUCCUAUCUGCACUUGUACCGUGGAGUUGAACCGCUAUGCGUCAUUUGAUGCAGGCCUUGAGGGAUGGGGAAAAGUAGAGAGAAAAGGACACUCAGAGCGCCUCGUUUCCGACUUCCUUUGCAGAUACGUUGCUGCUAUUAUCAGCAGAGGAAGAGGAAGGUGGUGACUCUUGUUCUGAUUCUGAGGUAUGAUUCUGAGAAUGAUGAAGCUGUGGCAGACGUUGUGCUUCUGCAUCCCAAGUGCUGAAAGGCAGGGCGACGGCGCGUUAUUUCUGGGCAACCUUUCCACACUGCCUGACUGUCUGUGUUCUUGCUCACUCAGGGGUCUGCAAAGGAGAAGGAAAACCUUCCAGAACAACAGGAUGCUGAAACUCAAACAGAUUUUCAGGACGAUACACAGGUGACUGUGCUAAAGAGCGAUGCAGAUCAGUUGUGCAGAUGCCUGCUGGUGGCAGGCACAAUUUCUUAGGUUCAAAUUCCAGCUGAAGACCGAUCUACUGAUAGAGUCGAAUGAGUAAAAGCAUAUCUCGUCUUGUCAUGUCCUUACUGAUUUCUGCAUUCUCAUGUAACGCCAUUUCUUCAGGGUGUGGUCAGACAGCUGCCGCAGGAGCUUCCCGGUGCUCUUGAAGAGCAGCCCAAAUCCAAAGCUCCUCUUGAAGACCCUAUGCGCUGCCGCAGGUGCCUGAAGGGAGAGAAGAGGCGUUUGCGGAAGGAGUUGGACACGUUUAAAGCCAAGCUGCUGCAAUCGCAAAAACAGCAUAUCCGGAACCUGAAUUGCAGAGCUGCCCUGCAGAUUGCUAUACAGAAGAUGGAGAGGGAAGUAACAGCUUCUUGCCUGAAACAGCAAAGCCUUCCGGUAGCAUCUGCUGCAGCUAUCACACAACUGGAGGAGCGCAUGCAAUGGCUCGAAGUUCGAAAUGCCAGACUGGAAGCCAUGGCCCAGCAACAAGCCAUGAUCAUCGAGGCCCUUCAGAAAGACCUGCAAGCCUCUGCCUCAUCACCGCGGAACUGGCAAAGUCGGCAGUGAUGAGAUGAUGCUGGAGCCAAGGAAGAGCCAAUUGCAGACAGCGAAGAGCAGAUCUGAAGAGCUGAGGGAUGUCUGGAAAACUCUGGCUUCCACCCCGUGCAGCUCCUCCCCCGAAUUUCGUUCCACAUGUGCUGCUCCACGUUGCUAUUCAAUAAACUUUGCCACCUAGUGUGCAUCUUUAUUGUCAUAGAAGGACAGAAUCACUGAGUUUGGAAAAGACCUUCAAGACCAUCAAGCGCACUGGUCAACCCAACCUACGAAGCCCCAUUGGUAGGGAAGUUGCAGUGAGAAGAGGAAGUGUGUGGGUACAGUCACCCAGCUGCUAAUUUCGAGUUGCAGAGGCCUGUGUUCUUCAGCAGGGAUAUGUUGGAAGAGGUGAAAGAGAAAUCUGCUGCCCUUUGGAGCAUGCCAGCUGCUCUUGGCAGCAGCUUUUGGCAGCUCCCAAAAUGGCUGGAGGCUGUCCCCAGAGCUUUCUACGGGGAGAGGAAAAGGAGGCGACUCUGUUCAGCAGCGCUGGUGGUUUGCUGCACACACCUGCUACUGUAGUUGGCAAGUGGUGCCUGUGGCUAUGGGGAAGGGAUGCUGGGCGACGUUUCUGUGCAGGAGGAGGUUGGAGUUGUUUUGGCCCUCAGCGGUGGGGUGGUUUGCUGCAGUUUUCUUCCAUGGGUCUGGGGGAAGCAGCCAUAGCAGCCAUCUAACUCUUGGGUAAGAGUUCCUGAAUAGCUUCGCUGAUGGAGAAGUGGACAGAGCCAUAAGCAUAACUCUUGUGGUGUGCAAAGGGCAGGAAAGGGGAGAUGUGCAAGAGACAAGUGGCAGGAGAGGACUGGGUGCUGUUGGGUAGGAGAGAGAGAGCAAAUUCUACAGCGCUGUGCCCAAGGCUCUGCUUCUAAGAUCUCAGCGUCCCGUGAAUAGGUAGGGAGCAGAAAAUCCCAGCAAUAGGAGCUGGCUUGAAUGAAUGCUAUAGCUAUGAAGCUGAAAAGAGGUAGCAACAACAGAAUCCGUACCAAACAGUUGUGUAAAGUUGAGAUGUGCCAUGAGCAGAAACUAAGUGUGAAGGGUGUGAGGAAAGAAUAUUUGCAGCCUGGUUAGCCCCGUGCAGACUUAAAGCACAGUCUCUUUUCUGAUGCCUACAGCAGUUUACCUUUUAAAUGACAGAUGAGGUAAGUGGGACACUGAGUUCUCUAUGAUGUGAAGUUGGCUAGGCCAACAUUGAAU